UGAGCUGUGACCUGUCGGAGAAGACCUAGGCGCGGGACAGAGCGGGAGACCAAGGGGGAAGGCGGAGAUGCCACAUGUGGUGAGGUACCAGCAGACUGGGGAACUGAAUGCUCACUGCCCUUUUCAGGUGAAUUACAAGGCCGCAAAGCUGCAGAAGGAAAGGACAGGCCGGCCAAUCUCAAGUUCAGCUGAGAAACAAAUUUGCUUGGGCUCCAUCUUCACCUAGUUGAGAGAAAGUCUAGUUACCAAACAUCUCUCCUUCCACAAGCUCUGCUUCCAAGGAAAGUUAACCAUGUCUUCUUCCUGGUGCUCCUUCCUCUGCUGAGACCAUGCAGUGUAGAGCAGAGAUGGGCAGCAGCGAGCCCCUUCCUAUCUCCGAAAGUGGCACCAGGAAGAAGAAGAAACGGAAGGCCCGAGCGACUGAUUCCUUGCCAGAAAGGUUUGAAGAUUUGUACAGACUGACCUCUGAGCUGCUUGGAGAAGGUGCCUACGCCAAAGUUCAGGGUGCUGUGAGUCUGCAGAAUGGCAAAGAAUAUGCA